UCUAUUGAAAUUAUGUUCAUAGAAAUAUUUUUUUCAUGUGUGAGAAUAUUUGUAGAAGUGUAAUUUCACUUCAAAAAUUUGUAACCAUAAAAUUAUUUUAUAUCAAACAUUUGCCAGUAUAAUUAAAUUUUAAUAGAAAUUAUUUUAUACCUAUUCGUAUCUUGUUCUUUUAAAUAUGUUAUAUAUGUUUCUUAAGAUUAGAAGUCUUUAAAAGUGUCAUGACUGAUUUUUGGCAUAUAAUUCAGAGUUUCAUGCAGUCAAGUCUAAUGUUUUUGCUCUUUAAUUUUUAACUGUAGUAUUGAGAUACAAUCAACAUACAAUGAACUGCACUAUUUAAGGAGUACAGUUGAUGUUUUUAUAUGUAUAUGCCCAAGAAAGUAACACCACAGUCACACUAAUAAAUAUCCAUUGUUUCAUGAAGUUUCCUUUUUACUCCCUCCUUCCUGUCCAUCCCUUACUGGUGCUGCUCACAGCCAAUCACCCACCUGUUCUCUGUCAUUAGAGACUAGUUUGCCUUCUCUAGAAUAUUCUUUGAAUGGAAUUAUACAGUAUCUAUUCAUUUAAAAAAUUUUUUUCACCUUUACUGAGGUACAAAUGACAAAAAUUAAAUGUAUUUAAGGUGUAAAAGCAUAUGGUUCGUAUAAAUGUACAUUGAGAAAUAGCCACCACAGUGAAGCUCAUUAGACUUCAUUACCUCAAACAGUCACCAUUGGUUUUUUGUUUGUUUGUUUGCUUUUUCCUUUUCAUCUCCUAUCUCUCUGGUAAACACCUGUUUGUUUUCUGUGAGUCUGUUCUGAUUGUUCCUUUUUUUUUUUUUAGAUUCCAAAUAUAAAUGAAAUCAUACAAUAUGUGUCUUUAUCUGUUUUGUUUCACUUAGCAUAAUGUCUUCUACCUAAGUCCAUGCAUGUUGUCACAAAUGGCAAGAUUUCAUUCUGUUUUAUGGCUAAUAUUCCAUUAUAUACAUAUGUAUACACACAAACACAAUCUUACGUAUAAUAUAAUCUUAUUGCUUCAUGAAUUUGAAACACAAAGCCCAAGAAUGUGCUCUUUCCUCUAUUCAUCAAGGGUCCUCCUAAAAGCUAAAAUUUAUCUCUGUCUAAACGAGGGAUGGUAUCAGGGGUUCGAGGAAAGAUCAAGCAUGGAAAGAAGAUUAUCUUCUCUAUUUUUUGAAUAAAGGCACAUGAACCCAAAGUGUUUAAGAAUUGAUAACCACAUAUCUACAUACAUGAAUAGAUGUCUACUUCAAGAAUCACAAUGAUAACAACAAUGUUCAUAGCCCACGACAAUACCAGGGUCCAUCUGCAAGUUGAAGACAAGAUAUACAAGUGGUAGAACAUAAUCGCAGUAGCUUACAGGUAAAAGAUUUCGGACAAUUUAGUCCAAUCUUUUACACAAAGCUGAAAUCUCCUCCACAAAAUUUAGAUGUCUAUUUAUCUAGGACUUUAAGAUUGAAUUAAUAAUUAGUAUUACUUGGGAAGAAAAUAAAUUUUAGGAUGUAAACUUAAGAAUGACA
rnacentral:lncRNA from 1 species